rnacentral:rRNA from 1 species
CAACAAAAGGAUGAAAUAGAAAAAGAAGUGAAAGAAAUGCUAGCAGCUGGGAUGAUAACACCCAGUAUGAGUCCAUUUGUUGCUCCUGUGUUGCUAGUAAAAAAGAAAGAUAGCACAUGGAGGUUCUGUGUAGACUACAGAAGGCUGAAUGCAGUGACUAUCAAAAACCAGUUUCAUAUGCUUGUCAUUGAUGAGAUCUUGGAUGAGUUAGGGGGUAUUAAAUGGUUCUCUAAGUUGGACCUCAAAGUUGGUUACCAUCAUAUCAGAAUGAAGGAAGAAGAUGAGUACAAAACAACUUUCAAAACACACCAUGGACAAUUCUAGUUCAGGGUGGUUCCCUUUGGGUUAACAACUGCACCAGGAACAUUUCAAUGUGUUAUGAACUUCAUGUUUGCAGGACCAAACAGAAAAUAUGUGCUAGUUUUUAUGGAUGAGAUCCUUGUAUUCAGUCUCACACUGGAAGAUCAUUUAGAGCAUCUAGAGUAUGUGUUUGACACACUCAAGGCAACCCAGCUGUUUGUUAAAGAAUCCAAGAGUGUUUUUUUCUCAACAGUCCUUAGAAUAUCUAGGGCACAUCAUCUCUAA